CUACGUGCCAGCAGCCGCGGUAAUACGGAAGGUCCAGGCGUUAUCCGGAUUUAUUGGGUUUAAAGGGAGCGUAGGCGGAUUGUUAAGUCAGCGGUUAAAGGGUGUGGCUCAACCAUGCAUUGCCGUUGAAACUGGCGAUCUUGAGUGCAGACAGGGAUGCCGGAAUUCGUGGUGUAGCGGUGAAAUGCUUAGAUAUCACGAAGAACUCCGAUCGCGAAGGCAGGUGUCCGGGCUGCAACUGACGCUGAGGCUCGAAGGUGCGGGUAUCGAACAGGAUUAGAUACCCUGGUAGUCCGCACGGUAAACGAUGAAUACUCGCAGUUCGGCCGUUUAUGGUCGAGUUGUCCAGCGAAAGCGUUAAGUAUUCCACCUGGGGAGUACGCCGGCAACGGUGAAACUCAAAGGAAUUGACGGGGGCCCGCACAAGCGGAGGAACAUGUGGUUUAAUUCGAUGAUACGCGAGGAACCUUACCCGGGCUUGAAC
rnacentral:rRNA from 1 species